rnacentral:rRNA from 1 species
UACAGAGACUGCAAGCGUUAUUCGGAUUCACUGGGCGUAAAGGGUGCGCAGGCGGCCAUGUGUGUCAGGCGUGAAAGCCCCGGGCUCAACCCGGGAAUUGCGCUUGAUACUGUUGCGCUUGAAUCCAGGAGAGGAUGGCGGAAUUCCCAGUGUAGAGGUGAAAUUCGUAGAUAUUGGGAAGAACACCAGUGGCGAAGGCGGCCAUCUGGCCUGGAAUUGACGCUGAGGCGCGAAAGCGUGGGGAGCAAACAGG